GGCAAGGUGGCCAACUGGUAAGGCGUCGGUCUCGUAAACCGAAGAUCAUGGGCUCAAUCCCCAUCCUUGCCU